CACAGUCUGAAGUCUGUUCACAUUCUUUACAGAGCUAGGGUGGAUGAGUCUUGGAAAUACAGAAAGCAGGUAACCCAUUCUGAUUUUUUUAUGAACAUACUAGUAACUUUAACUAAACAUGUGUUGUUAGCAGCACUCUUAACUAUGGAAUGCCUAUAGCAGAAUAUUCCUAGUUGUCUAGGAUUCCUUAUGACAAACAAACCAGGAACCCAUGGGUUUAUGGGACAGAGCUAUCUAGAAAUAUGGCACAUUAACUGUAUGCAUUGAGUAUAAAGUGGAAAUGUUGCACGAACCACCUAUUUUUUUAUGUUAAACAGAGUGACCAUAAACCUUACCGAUAAACCUCAUACGUUAAUCUGUGCCAGAGAAUGCCAGAUCCAGAAGUCUAGGAAAUUGCUCCAGGGGUUCAGGACCUCCUCUGCUUUGUGUAUGGGAUCUGUUCUUGAAAUUAGGGGGAAGACUUGAUAUUGAAUAAGACCUGUGAUUCGGGUAACUCUAAUUUGACAAUCCAGUUGUUUAUAUUUAUCUGACUUUUCAUUCUUUGUUUAGCAAUAUUAAGAAAAGGCUUAAUCAAUUUAUUAGCUGAUCGAUCAUUAAAAGCAUUUUUUUUUCAUGAAAAAUACCUAAUUUUUGGCAGGCAACUAAGAAGUCAUAGACAGCAACUGAAUGACAAUACUAUAACACUGUCUUCUGUUUUCAACUGCUUAUUUUUUGCAAGGUGUGUUAUUCAGCAUGCGCAUGUGCACAAGCAAUAGCAGCAUAUCAGCUUUAGACGUGGACAUGUCACAGGGAUCUGAGAAGCUGUGGAUAAAUAGAGGACCUCCUCAGUAAUAAAAUGGUCUGGACAUGAAGAACUCUUACCCUACAUUAGACUCCAUGCUUUUUUAUGAAACCCUCUUCUCCGGGAAGUACAGAGAUUGAUCAUGGGAGUAUGUUGUCCUCUCAGGCAUACUAUCCUGAAGAUGUUUCUCAGCCUGUUGAUAGCUACUUUCAAAAGCCUCUACCUUCAGACACCUCACACAAAAUGUAGUCUUCAGUCUCAAAAUCUAUACUUAAUCCCAAACUCCAGAAACAGAGGUCCAGUUUUUGUAAAAACUUCAUCACUGCAUUUUACUGUUUUUGCCACCACAGGGAGGCCUGUUUCAGCAGCUGAGCAAGCAUGUGGUGGGAAGGAAGAGGAGUCCUUUGUAUAUAUGGUAUGCAAAAAAAUCACCACCACCCCACCACUGCGAAAGAUGUCUGCAUCCUAAGCCUCAGAAUCUGUAAAUGUGUUACCUCACAUGGCAAAAGAGACUUUGCAGGUGCGAUUAAAUUAAAGAUCAUGGAAAAAUUCUAUUGGAUUAUCUAGAUGGGCCCAUUAUUAUCACCAAAGUCAUGGAAAGGAAGGCAAGAGUCAGAGAAGAAAAUAGGAUGACAGAAGCAGAGGUCUGAGUGAAACAGAGCUAUAAACCAAGGAAUGUGGGCAGCUUCUAGAAGCUCAAAAAGACAAUGAAUAAAUUCUCCCCUAGAACUUCCA
rnacentral:lncRNA from 1 species